CCUACGGGAGGCAGCAGUAGGGAAUAUUGCUCAAUGGGGGAAACCCUGAAGCAGCAACGCCGCGUGGAGGAUGAAGGUUUUCGGAUUGUAAACUCCUUUUGUUAGAGAAGAUAAUGACGGUAUCUAACGAAUAAGUACCGGCGAAAGACGGGCCAGCAGCCGAGGUAAUAAGGAGGGUACAAGCGUUAGUCGGAAUCAGUGGGCGUAAAGAGCGGGUAGUGUGGAUAGCAAGUCAGAUGUGAAAUCCUAUGGGUUAACCAUCGAACUGAAUUUGAAACUGUUAUUCGAGAGUAUGGGAGAGGUAGGUGGAAUUCUUGGUGUAGGGGUAAAAUCCGUAGAGAUCAAGAGGAAUACUCAGUGCGAAGGCGACCUGCUAGAACAUAACUGAC
rnacentral:rRNA from 1 species